rnacentral:rRNA from 1 species
CCUACGGGAGGCAGCAGUGAGGAAUAUUGGUCAAUGGACGGAAGUCUGAACCAGCCAUGCCGCGUGCAGGAUGACGGCUCUAUGAGUUGUAAACUGCUUUUGUACGAGAAUAAAAGCUGUUACGUGUAGGGGUUUGAACGUAUCGUACGAAUAAGGAUCGGCUAACUCCGUGCCAGCAGCCGCGGUAAUACGGAGGAUUCGAGCGUUAUCCGGAUUUAUUGGGUUUAAAGGGUGCGUAGGCGGUUGGAUAAGUUAGAGGUCAAAUGCCGGGGCUUAACCCCGGACCUGCCUCUGAUACUGUUCGGCUAGAGAGCGGUUGCAGUAGGCGGAAUGAGUGGUGUAGCGGUGAAAUGCUUAGAUAUUACUCAGAACACCGAUUGCGCAGGCAGCUUGCCAAUCCGCCUCUGACGCUGAGGCACGAAAGCGUGGGUAGCGAACAGGAUUAGAUACCCGAGUAGUC